AAAGUCGUAACAAGGUUUCCGUAGGUGAACCUGCGGAAGGAUCAUUAAAUGAAGAAUAUGGCAUUCACUACCAAUGGAUGAACAUAUAAAUAAACCCACCUGCGUACCGCUCCUGUUGCUUCCGUGGGGCGGCGACCAACGUUGCCACCGAUGGAUGGCUCCGGCCAUCUGGAGGGGAGUCCCCACGGGAGGUAUAACAUAAACUACUUGCAUCUUCAUGCUCUUAGUCUGUACAUAAUUUAUAAAUAUUAAAACUUUCAACAACGGAUCUCUUGGUUCUC
rnacentral:misc_RNA from 1 species